rnacentral:tRNA from 1 species
GGCUCUUAGCUCAGUGGCAGAGUGCGUGCCUGGCACACACUGGGCCCUGGGUUCAAUUCCCAGCGCUGCCA